CGUGCGCGCGCACCGUAUGUGUUUGUUUGGUGAUGGAAAGUGUUUACUUUCUCCUUAUACUGCACGUCUUUUAUUUCUGCGUUCAUCGGAUAUGUCGUGGUCAACAGUGUGUCUGCGCUGGAGAAGGUUCUGCAAUGCUUUAUCUUGUGUUACUGUAAGGCGAGCAGAUGCACUACUCUCUCACGGUUGUGUAAGGAUGGCUUCGGAUCAGUUUGGAUCGUCCUAAUGUCCAGAGAUGGCAGAAGUGGCUCACACAUUCAUAACAACAGUCAUCAGCGGUUCUGCGCUGAAGAUAAUGCUGGAAUGCUGUAUUUUGUAAUACCGGAAGAGCAGCGCGGCUAAUUUUGUUGUGUAUAGAUGGCUUCAGAUCAGUUUGGAUGGUCUUGAUGUCCAGAGAUGGCAGAAGUGGCUCACACACUCAUAACAACAGUCAUCGGCGGGUCUGUGCUGGAGAAGGUGCUGCGAUGCUGUAUUUUGUAUUACCGGAAGAGCAGCGCGGCUCAUUUGCCGAUGCACUACAAGGACGGCUUCGGAUCAGUUUGGAUCGUCCUGAUGGCAAAGAAGUGGCUCACACAUAGUCAUGACUACGAUAAGAAUAGGUGAAUGAUUCAAACGUUUUAUUUUAUUGAUGUUUUAAUCAAUAUUGUGGCAGUAAAUGAAAUCAUAUCAAUAACAGUACUGAUACUUAUAUUAAUGAUAAUAAUAUUAACAAGUAUAACUAUAAUAAGAAGAACAAUAAGAAUCAUCAAUGGGUUGUUAAUCUGAGGCAGGUUUGUAGUAUGCAGGAAGUGUGCUUUUUUUCUAGCAUCAUUUCAGUCGGUCAUAGGAAAUGACAGGAUUUUUUGUUAUGUGAAAGAAUAACAUAACAUUGUUGACUAUGUAAAAAUAACAUUCAAUCACUGGUGUUAAAGCGACACGAUUGUUUCCUGUGGCCGAACGCUUUUAACCCACUCAAAGUGUUUAGUUUAGUUUAUUUGAUUUAUUUACAGGGGCACAUACAUUAAUGAACAUGACUGUAAAAUGUGUCCAAAUUUGGCAAGAAUGGGUACUUUUCAUCAGUAGACCUUUGACAGAAUAUUAAAAUGUCUCAUCUAAAAUACUAACAAAGUAUAAAAACAUAGAAAAGAGAAGUAUCAUAUAUUUAAAUGCAGAAACGUAACAUGGAGAGGACAGAGAACAGGACGACGUAGCCAAGAACAAAGUGUGCAAGUAGGUGUCCUGUCAGAAUACAGUAUUGUUGAUAUACAGAUCUUUCUUUACACUAUCGUCAAUGUUGAUGACGAGAAUUUGGUCAUGAAAGUGAAAAGAAGGAAAAGUAUUUACGGUAAUGUUGUAAUUGUUGGUGGGGUUUUCCUAGCACCUUUCAAUGAAAACACAGACAAACCGAAUUGAUAUGUGUUGACGGGAAUAAUACAGUCCCUCUUCCACCACUCGUAGUCGGUUGAGAAGUUGUUGUAACAUUCACAGACUGAUUGAAGUUGCCUUAUGUGCAGUCUUAAUCAGUUGACAAUUAUGAACAUAUUUAAUGUAAAUGGGCAAUCUUAGCAGAUCGUGUAUCUUUAAGAUAGAAUGAAGAAAUUGAAGUGAUUUGUCACGAAGCAUUUUAAUGUUUGUUCUGACUAGGAUCGGAGCGGAUUCUGAGUAGUAAUUGUAGGUUGCGAUCAAGCGGAUAAGUGCUAUAAGCUUAGAGCUGCGCAAUAUAUAUUGUUUUAGGAUUAAUAUGGCAACGUGUGAAUGCGCAAUAUGGACUGUAAAUGAGGAGUUUUGUGUGUUUUGAGAUUGAUGUUAUAAUUGAUUUUAUUUCCCCCAUCUGUUUAUGCUUUUGAGUGGCGUUACGGGACCUUAAAAAGUAAAUAUUGAAAAGUUUUUGAAACAUUUUGAAUAGUUUAAAGCGAUAAAUUGUCUGGCUUAGUGGUGUAACACCUUGCUAUAAACUGCCAGUACAUUUCCUGUUAUUUUACUGACUUGUUAUGCGUUGCAUGAAUUUGCAAGAAUAAAAGCCCACAGAGCAGAGAUCAACCUCCCAUGAUGCAAUUGACAACCGUAAAUAAAGGAAAAAAAAAAUGAGUCAAUCACAAAAUAGGUGAAAAUGUAAAGGGUGAUGAGUGCAGUAUGCUGGAGAUCGGUGUAUUGACGCAGAUGCGCUUCCGAUUGAAUAUUAAUGUAUUAGCAUUUACAUUGAGAAAAUCGAGCUAUUGAAGUUGUUUAGUGUAAGAUCGCAAUAGAAAAAUAGCACAGUGCUAAGUUUUUUAGCGGUAAUGUUUUGGAACUCUUUAUUUUUAGGCCUAUGUAAAGCCUCAUAUGUAGGCUUCAGACUACAUAUAAAUACAUAGAAAUGUACAAUUGGCUAGACUGAAUUUGACGCUGUUACAGACCUGUGGCCUAAAUGAAAGUUUUGAAUCCAUCAGAAGAACGUGACCAACUAACCGACUUUUAAUCCUUCCCUGAUACAAAUCCAUGCGGCAGUACGGUUAAAGUAUUAUGUUUGUAAAAGAACAUACACAGUAAAUGUGUUUUGGAGAGUGGGAAUGUAAACAGCAUCGUCGACUGUAGGAUAGCUGUAACGUAUAGCUAAAGUUAAAACGUAGUUUGUUUGCAACUUGUGACAGCGCUACUGGGAAUGAAAUAACAGCGUCAUUUGCCUAUAUUUGAAUGUUUUUUUUUAGGUCAGAUGGAUGGAAGGUGUACAAGUGAAAAAGUAAAGGACACAGAAUAGAUCCUUGCGGAACGCCAGUGGAUAGGUUAAAUUUGUAAUUCUGUAUAUCAAGAUACAGUAGUUUAAACGAGCAGACAGUGACGAUUCCAUCCAUGUUAACGUUUGUGGGAAAAGUUUGAAACUUAAUAAUGUAGACAAGAGAAUUGUGCGAUCGAUCGUGUCAAAGGCCUUCCUGAAGUGGAGCACCGACGACCCCACCAUGAAGACUUGACUUUUCAUAUGAAGUAGCAACUGGCCAUCUCAGUGGAAUAGUUUGUUGUGAACCCAAACUGCAAUCGUUGUUAAGGAAGAGAAGUAUUGUGGAAAGAACGAGUGAUUUGCGUAGCUAUUAGUUUCUCUGGAAUCUUGGAAAUAUACCAAAUAAGUGGAUACUUCCUAGCAGAUUGAGGAUGCGCACUUUUGAAUACAGGCAGAAGAGUAGACGAUUUUGAAGCCCUGGGAACAUCUUUAGAGUAGCAGACAAAUUGGUCAUUUGAACGAUAGGAUGAAGUAACGAGUCGCUGGGCUGUCAUACCUUUGCUUUGGAUGAUUUAAGAGAUGGAAUUGUUGUUUUGAUAUGCAGAAACAGAUGUUAGAGUAAAAGUUUCCGCUGUAUGUAUUUGAUGAGCUUGUAAAUAGUUGUGAUAGAAACACUGUGUGAUUAAGGCUACCGAGUGUUGAAAAUAAGGAAGCAGUUGAGCUGCAUCCGCCGGUUUAUUAGUCAGUUUCCCCAUUUAUGGUCAAUAAAAGCGCUGAGCUAUUUUUUGUUUUAUCACCUUUUAAGUAGUUCAACUGAUUACAUGUGGAAUUGUAAUGACCUCUCGCUACUAGAACUAUUGUCAUGAAAAAAAGCAGCCUUUGCUUUCAUGUCUUAUAAAUUAGAAGUUUGUCUACUUGGCACAGUUAUACAUUUUUCCAGCAUAGUCUAAUAUAAUUCCCUGAGAUGCACUUCCCAUUCAAUAUAUUGUAAAUGACAUAUUGUGGAACAUUUGCAUUUACAAAAUGGCAACAUUUGACAUAUCUUACAUGACAUUGUGACAUUGACUCCAGAGAGAAGAGCAAAGCAUUUGGAAAAAUGGCAAAAUCCAGUCCUUAAACAAUU